rnacentral:rRNA from 1 species
GGCGGACGGGUGAGUAACACGUGAGCAACCUGCCUAUCAGAGGGGGAUAACGAUUGGAAGCGAUCGCUAAUACCGCAUGACAUAGCGGAAUCGCAUGGUUCUGUUAUCAAAGAUUUUAUCGCUGAUAGAUGGGCUCGCGUCCGAUUAGAUAGUUGGUGGGGUAACGGCCUACCAAGUCGACGAUCGGUAGCCGGACUGAGAGGUCGAACGGCCACAUUGGGACUGAGACACGGCCCAGACUCCUACGGGAGGCAGCAGUGGGGGAUAUUGCACAAUGGGGGAAACCCUGAUGCAGCGACGCCGCGUGAGGGAAGACGGUCCUCUGGAUUGUAAACCUCUGUCUUCGGGGACGAAACGAGACGGUACCCGAGGAGGAAGCCACGGCUAACUACGUGCC